rnacentral:tRNA from 1 species
GCGCGGGUAGUAUAUUUGAGUAUGGUGUCUUUCCAAGUCAUUGGUUUCUUAUUGAAUCUGCGUA